AGGACGAACGCUGGCGGCGUGCUUAACACAUGCAAGUCGAGCGGUAAGGCCUUUCGGGGUACACGAGCGGCGAACGGGUGAGUAACACGUGGGUGAUCUGCCCUGCACUUCGGGAUAAGCCUGGGAAACUGGGUCUAAUACCGGAUAUGACCUCCUAUCGCAUGGUGGGUGGUGGAAAGAUUUAUCGGUGCAGGAUGGGCCCGCGGCCUAUCAGCUUGUUGGUGGGGUAAUGGCCUACCAAGGCGACGACGGGUAGCCGACCUGAGAGGGUGACCGGCCACGACGUGGGACUGAGACACGGCCCAGACUCCUACGGGAGGCAGCAGGUGGGAAUAGUUGCACAAGUGGGCGAAAGCCUGAUGCAGCGACGCCGCGUGAGGAUGACGGCGUUCGGGUGUAACCUCUUUCGAGCGAGGACGAAGCGACG
rnacentral:rRNA from 1 species